ensembl:lncRNA
GUGAAGAUUGUCCUGAGAAAGUGCCUGGCCCCAGCAGCCCUUCCUCCACAUUCCCUCUCGCCAGGACCAGCAUGCCUCAUGUGCUCAGCCCCAUCUGGAGAACAUCCACAGCCCAGUGGAGUUCACCCCCUGCUCCCUCCUCGAGCCCAUGCAAAGAUCAGAGCCACAGCUGCCAGCAGGAAUGGCCAUGUCCUCGCCGGCAUCACCCCUCUCAGAUGCCCCAUCGGGAGUGGAGCAGAGCUGGGGGGACCCCAGCAGCUCAACACCCCACAGUGUGGGACCUCACAAAGAGACUGUCAUCUGGGAUCCUGCUGAAACCUCCACGCUGCUGCUGCCACCGCGGGGCCCUGGCGGGCUGGGGGGGACAGUCAACCUCAUCCUCAGUAUCGGCAAGAAGGGCGAGAAGAAGAAGGUGCAACCGGUGGCUGGCAGCGAGCAGCCAGGGCAGGAGAUGCUGCGGACGGCACAGGUGGAGGCCGGCAAAACCUCCAGCACCAAGCGGCCACCUGCCCACCGCCCUCCGGCAUCCAGUGGCGGGAUACCACCUGCCUCCCACACCCUGCCCAAGGCUGGGGCCGGCUCCCUCUUCAACAGUCUGCAGCGGCGCGAGCGGGCUGAGCAGGCCCGUCUGCUGACACUGCAGGGCAUCAUGGGCACCGGCUCCCUGCAGCCCACGCCCGAGGAGCACCAUGGCCCCAGCAACACGUGGCCUCAGAAGUGUGGCCGGAGGAAGGGGGAGCCGGGGGCAGCCACGGCUGGACCCCCACUCGGGGAGUUGCUGCUCUACGUCAGAAACCCACUGGUGCGGGAUAUCGAUGCUGAGUGCGGGGUGGCCCCUCGGGACCCCCACCUCCCUGACCUGAAAACCAUGUGCCCACGCCUUUCCCUGGGCUCCGUGCUCAGCCUGGACCUACCCCAGGACACAGUGGUCCUGGGCUGCCACCGAGGGGCUGCAACAUGGUGGGAAGAGGCGGAGGGGCAGGAGCAGAGGCAGGGCAGGGGGGUGAGGCCACAGGAGCCCACAGGCAAGCGUGGGGCUGGAUGGCAGGAGGAGGUAGAUGUGGAUGGGCACAGUCCCCAGGGGCCCAGCAAGGGGCUGGGGAUGUCCCCUAAAAGUGAGCAAGGAACAUGGUUCGAGGAGGUGAGCUUCAACCCCAGCUACAGCCAGCAAAAGGCACACUGUGCUGGGGAGGAGCACUGGAGCUCGCAGUGCCCUGGCAGCGCUGGUAAAGACCUCCCGGACUUCAGGCCAAGCCAGCCAUCCCGUGUCAGUGUACUGCAUGAGAGGGUGGGGAAGGAGGGGGGCAAGCUGGUUGCCCGGCUGGGCCAGGAUGGCAGCCCCAGCAGGGCCAAGCAUCGUGAAGCAGCAUGGCUAGAGGUCGGGCCAUCCCCUGCCAGCAUCCCUGUAAGGGCAGGAGCUGUUGCCACCACUGCCUGUGCACAAUGGGCAGCCAGCAGUGGCCAGCCCGGAGGGUCCCUGGCUUCCCCACCCACCCCCAACCAGCGCUCUGUUUUUGAGUGGGCUCUGGGGUCCCCCCAGGCCCCCAGCCCCGUGUUGGGCUCUGGGGAGGUUUGCCACCCUGCCCACAGGCAGUUUGAGGAAGAGGAGGAGGAGCUGCAGGCCAUCUGGGAUGGGGUGGGCAAGCAGCGGGCACCCAGCCUGCCAGCAGGCAGCCAUGCCCACCACCGGCCAGGGAGUGGGGCAGGCAGCCUGCCCAGCCCUGAUGCCAGUGCCAGCGGGCCUCUCAUCCUGUCGUCUGCCAACAAUGUGCUAGUGGCCAAGUUCACCCUCCCCACUGCUGCCCGGCUCCUCCACAGCCCAUCUGGAGAGAAGAGCCCCGGUGCGGGGCACAGCAGUGGUGGCAGCCCCAGCAGACAUGAGGUGUCCCCCUGCGUGGAGGCACCAGUGUCCGCAACCCCCUUGGAUGGCCCUGGCACCUGGGAUCAGCAGAAGCAUGGGGAAGAGGAGAGAGAGGGCAGCAAGGGCCCUCCUAGUAAGACGGAGUUUCAGAUGAUGGAGGGGACGCUGGAAAGGAAGCACGUGUUGCAGACAGGAGGGAGGAAGGCCAACUGCCGGGCCUGGAGCCUCUUUCACGCCGUACUGAUGCGGCAGACACUGUGCUUCUACCAGGACCGCAGGGACAGCCUCAAGAGCUCUGUGGUGGCUCUUCCCCUGAACCUCUCUGGAGCAGUCUGCACCCCAGAUGCCGAAUACACCAAGAAGACCAACUGCUUCAGGCUUCAGCUGCGGGAUGGCUCUGAGUACCUCCUGAGGGCCCCCUCCCAGCCCCUCAUGAAUGAAUGGGUCUCCAAGCUGCAGCAAAACUCAGGUUUCCCCGAAGUGGACUACUUCCAGGCGGCAGCACAGCAUGUCGAGGGCACCGGCAGUGCUGGGGGGUGA